rnacentral:rRNA from 1 species
AACGCUGGCGGCGUGCUUAACACAUGCAAGUCGAACGAAGCCCUCGGGCUUAGUGGCGGACGGGUGAGUAACGCGUGAGAAUCUACCUUCUAGAUGGGGACAACCGUUGGAAACGACAGCUAAUCCCCAAUAAGCCGAGAGGUGAAACGGGUAUCCGCUAGAAGAGGAGCUCGCGUCCGAUUAGUUAGUUGGUGGGGUAAAAGCCUACCAAGGCAGCGAUCGGUAGCUGGUCUGAGAGGAUGAGCAGCCACACUGGGACUGAGACACGGCCCAGACUCCUACGGGAGGCAGCAGUGGGGAAUUUUCCGCAAUGGGCGAAAGCCUGACGGAGCAACGCCGCGUGUGGGAAGAAGGCUCUUGGGCUGUCAACCACUUUUCUCAGGGAAGAAGACCUGACGGUACCUGAGGAAUCAGCCUCGGCUAACUCCGUGCCAGCAGCCGCGGUAAUACGGAGGAGGCAAGCGUUAUCCGGAAUUAUUGGGCGUAAAGCGUCCGCAGGGGGCGCAUCAAGUCUGCUGUUAAAGGUCGGAGCUAAACUCCGGUAGAGCAGUGGAAACUGGUGCGCUAGAGGGCGACAGGGGUAGAGGGAAUUCCCAGUGUAGCGGUGAAAUGCGUAGAGAUUGGGAAGAACACCGGUGGCGAAAGCGCUCUACUGGGUCGCACCUGACCCUCAGGGACGAAAGCUAAGGUAGCGAAAGGGAUUAGAUACCCCUGUAGUCUUAGCCGUAAACGAUGGAUACUAGGCGUGGUUUGUAUCGACCCAAGCCGUGCCGAAGCUAACGCGUUAAGUAUCCCGCCUGGGGAGUACGCACGCAAGUGUGAAACUCAAAGGAAUUGACGGGGGCCGCACAAGCGGUGGAGCAUGUGGGUCAAUUCGACGCAACGCGAAGAAACUUACCUGGACUUGACAUCUCGGGAAUCCGGUGACAGAGGGGAGUGGCCUUUACGAGGAAUCCGAUGACAGGUGUCUGCAUGGCUGUCGUCAGCUCGUCUCGUGAGAUUCUGGGUUAAGUCCCGCAUCGUGCGCAACCCCUAUCUUCAGUUACCAUCAGGUGAUUCUGGGUACUUUGGAUAUUCUGCCCCGUUUUUCUGUGAUGUAGCUGGGGAUGACGUCAAGUCCUCAUGGCCUUUAUGUCCAGGGCUACACACGUGCUACAAUGGUAUGUACUAAGGUAAUCGAUCCUGCGAGGAGGAGCUAAUCCCAUAAAGCAUAUCAAGGUUCGGAUCGGAGUCUGCAACUCGACUCCGUGAAGUUGGAAUCGCUAGUAAUCGCUGAUCAGCAUGCCGCGGUGAUACGUUCCCGGGCCUUGACACACCGCCCGUACACCAUGAGAGU